AAUGUAAUGGACCUGUUCACUUAUCAGAGAAUGGGAGCUGAUUUCUUCUCACCAGAACAUUUUCCUUUAUUUUCGAAGUUUGUUUGGACCCUCAAUCAACCAGCACUGCAGUCAGAUGAUCUACCCAUCGAAGAAGAAAUUGUUGAGUCUGUACAUUCGAAUUCAGAAUCAGUCAUCCACAUGCAAGCUGCUUAGUAGGAGUUAGAAUUAUAAUUUAUAUAUAAAACUUGUAUACUAUACUUGUAUCUAAUGAGUAUUAGGCAAAAUCAUAUAAGCUAAAGCAUAACAAGAAUAGCCAGUAUAUUACUGGCAUUACCCUGUACCUCCUGUGCCAAAACUAUGGUCAUGUGAGCAAUUUUAGCUUCGUUUGGAUUGGAUGGUAAAUGUUCAUGUUACUUUCUUCUACAGCGUCUUCAUAUUUUA
rnacentral:lncRNA from 1 species